rnacentral:rRNA from 1 species
GAUGAACGCUGGCGGCGUGCUUAACACAUGCAAGUCGAACGGGAAACCUUUUAUUGAAGCUUCGGCGGAUUUAGCUGGUUUCUAGUGGCGGACGGGUGAGUAACGCGUGGGUAACCUACCUUGUACAGGGGGAUAACAGUCAGAAAUGACUGCUAAUACCGCAUAAGCGCACAGAGCUGCAUGGCUCAGUGUGAAAAACUCCGGUGGUAUAAGAUGGACCCGCGUUGGAUUAGCUAGUUGGUGAGGUAACGGCCCACCAAGGCGACGAUCCAUAGCCGGCCUGAGAGGGUGAACGGCCACAUUGGGACUGAGACACGGCCCAGACUCCUACGGGAGGCAGCAGUGGGGAAUAUUGCACAAUGGGGGAAACCCUGAUGCAGCGACGCCGCGUGAAGGAAGAAGUAUCUCGGUAUGUAAACUUCUAUCAGCAGGGAAGAAAAUGACGGUACCUGACUAAGAAGCCCCGGCUAACUACGUGCCAGCCGCCGCUGUAACAC